CCUACGGGAGGCAGCAGUGAGGAAUAUUGGUCAAUGGGCUUACGCCUGAACCAGCCAAGUCGCGUGAGGGAAGACUGCCCUAUGGGUUGUAAACCUCUUUUGUCAGGGAGCAACGCCGGCUACGUGUAGCCGGACUGAGAGUACCUGAAGAAAAAGCAUCGGCUAACUCCGUGCCAGCAGCCGCGGUAAUAGGGAGGAUGCGAGCGUUAUCCGAUUUGAUUGGGUUUAAGGGGUGCGUAGGCGGAAUGCCAAGUCAGCGGUAAAAUCGCGGGGCUCAACCUCGCUCCGCCGUUGAUACUGGCAUUCUUGAGUGGCGGAGAGGUGUGCGGAAUGCGUGGUGUAGCGGUGAAAUGCAUAGAUAUCACGCAGAACUCCGAUUGCGAAGGCAGCAUACCGGAGCCCAACUGACGCUGAAGCACGAAAGCGUGGGUAUCGAACAGGAUUAGAUACCCGUGUAGUC
rnacentral:rRNA from 1 species